AGCUGAAGACAACCACCAAGGCAUUUUUUUAGCAGUGAGCCCGGAAGGAGAAUCCACAGUCAAAUGAGAGGCCUCACCCAUCUCUGUAUAUUGGCCCUUUUCCUUUGAAAGAGGAUAAAGCAACAGCUGCUAUUAUUUCAGCCAAGGAAAGAGGGUUGUGUAUGUGUUGGGGUGAGGGGAGUGUCUUCAUUAGCCGAUUCUCCAGGUAGGUCCUUUCCCAAAAGGGGGCUUGGCCUUCCCACCUCUGCCCCUGGUCCUCCAUCUCCUCCUCACCACCCAUCAGCCCUGACCAUUCCCCUUCCCCUGAGACAGGCUUGUAAAACUAAAGGGGACUGGGGACAAGGCCACACACUGUCAGGAGGGCAAAAGCAGGACGGAUGUGGACAGUGUGCCACAUGCAGGGAAAAGCCCCGGUACUGGUGGAACCAGGAAAAUGGAGGACGAGCUCUGGAAGACAAAACCCAAUAUGGGCAGUGUCACUCUUUCUCUCCCUUACCCAAACUCUGUGACCAUCUCUGUUCCCCAGCCUCCUGAAAUCUGAGACAAAGCUCUACAUCAGAGACUAUACACACAUGUCAGAUCAUCUGGGGGCAAGGGUAAAGUACUAAAUCACUUUGUAGAAAAGGAAACUCUGGCAGGAAGUGCCCUACAUGUUUGGAAAGGGAAAGUUUUAACUGAACCUUGUCACUUCAAAAUAUGUGGAGGUAAAAGGCACCAGGGCAAGGGAGACAGGAGGUCACUCGGGUAUGUAGGUACUGAUGGGACUGUGUUACAACAACUAUGCGUUUGUCUAAACAUACAUUUGAGAAACACAUUCCUGAGCAAGUAGUAAAGAUAAUUAUCUCAACUGCUCUCUUUUUCUUCAUUAGAGCUGGGUUUAGCUAAACCAGACCCAUUCAAGACAUCUUUACAUCUUUAUUAUGAAUGGCAAUUCUGCCAUCAGAAUUGAGACCUUCUUGAAACCCAAGAAAUACUAUAUCGUACAAUUACUACAAGCACCAUGACUGGUCUUCUAAUGAUAAAGACGUGUUUGUUAUGUUUAUAUGCUUUAUAUAUUUUGAAUUCACUUUGGUGCUAGUUCACUAACUUACUCACAAAACCCCACCCCCAAUCAAUGGCAGAUAUUCAUCUAAUUUCAUGUCAACUCUAUGUUGUAGAUGUCGUUGAUAUCAUUUCGAAGGUAAAGAUACAGGAGGUCAGAGAAGUUAAGUUACUUGUUCAGUGUUGCAUAGCUAGUAAAUGGCAGUGGCAGAAUUCGAACCCACACUCCCAAGGGAUCACUCUUUCCACUAUACCUCUCUUCUUAUGGACAAGCUAGGAGUCACCCACAUUUCGUUUGCUUGUUAUCCAUGCUAGCUUUCUCUAACUCUCUUGCAUCUGGGUUCAAUGUUGAGAUGAGCCAACUGGCUGGAGGAAAAUUCUGUGGAGGUAGGUAACUGUGGAGAAACUCUGGCACGUUACUCGGCAUUCCCUACCUUAAGAGGAAGUGGGUGACACUGGUCACGGAAGGACUAGCUAGAGAAUUAAUCAAUUAGUACACAUUUCUCACCAUUCCUAGAAAAGCAGCCAAGAACAUGUUCUAAUGGAAUGUAAAGGGUCAUGGAUACUUGCUGGCUAUGGGUAUGUGAAUCUUAUUUUCCUUUCUAAAAACCAACCCAUCAAGAAUCAGCCAUCAAGAUAGCAAUCCAUUGAUCAUUUCUGCCUAUUACAUGUUCACCAAUGAGGUAAGCAUCUAAAAGGGAUCAAACGAGGGGCUCCUGGGUGGCUCAGUCAGUUGGGGGUCCUACUCUUGAUUUCAGCUCUGGUUGUGAUAUCACGGUUCAGUUCGUGAGUUUGAGCCCCGCACUGCACUCUGCACUGAUGGCUCAGGGCCUGCUUGGGAUUCUCUCUCACCUCUCUCUCUGCCCCUCCUCCUGCUCGAGCUCUCUCUCAAAAUAAAUAAAUGAACACUUAAAAAAAUAAAAAAGAUCAAAUAAGAUGUUUUUUAGAAUGUAGAAGACUAAGACUUUGCUUCAGAUACCUGAGUAUUUUAGGCAGCAGUCACUUUGAACAGAGAGGAAGGAAGAAAAGAGUUUCUUAAUGCAAAUAGGUAAAUACGCAUUUACCUCUUUGUUUAUAAAGACAGUCUUUUGGUAAUCAGUUAACAUUAACAAACAUGCACCAAAUUCAUGGUUUUGGGGGAUGGAGGGGGGAGGGAGUGUUUCAUAAAUAUGUAUGUGGAACUCUAUACGUCUAUGUUGUAAAUUAGAUUUCUUUUGGUAUAUUAUUUGGCAUGACUUCUUGGAUAAAUGAAGUAUGUAUAAAGCCAAGUAUAAAGGAUAACAUAUAAAUAAUGUCAAUUCUCAAGGCUCUAUUAUUUGCAUGGAUUUUAUUCUCCCAUCUGCUAAAAAUCUGUGUCUUAUCCAUUCAUGUGUCUUUUUAUACUGCCCCCAAUAACUCCUGUCUCUGCUUUUAAAAACUGAAAUUUAAGGAAGAAGACUUCUGUGAUGAAUUGUCUUACUACUCAUUCUCAUGGUGUUUCAUUGUUCUUCCAGGGCUGCUGGAUCAGGCCCAGAAAGAACGGAAGAGGCUGGGGGAUGGUAAGUGCUGAUUCAGGAAUAUUGUCUGUUUCAGUUUUUAUUUUAUUUUAGAUGCACUCCUUCUCCACAGUGGGCUUCUCAAAUACUCAUCUAAUGAAAGCCGCCUGUUCUCCAUUCUCCUAGAAUUUCAAAAUGGGCACACUUACAACAAGGAAACCAAGGAUGAGCUCCAGCAUGUACCAUAGUCAUUAGACUAAAGGUGAUGAAUUGUUAAUAAGAAAGUUAAAUUCUAAGA
rnacentral:lncRNA from 1 species